GGCAGGUCCAUCAGGGGACACUGGAAAUUCCCCUGGACCACAGAGCACAUCAACGUGCUGGAACUAAGGGCAGUCCAUCUCUCCCUGAGGGUUUUUCUCCCGUUGUUACAGAACAAACAUGUUUUAGUGAGAACAGACAACAUGUCGGCAGUGUACCACAUCAAUCACCAGGGUGGCACCAGAUCAGCGCGGUGUCUCCAGGUGACACAGGAACUAUUUUCUUGGGCAUUUCCAAAGCUCUCAUCACUCAGAGCAGUAUACAUACCGGGAGUGGCGAACAGAGCGGCAGACCUGCUGUCACGAACUGGACCACUCCCGGGAGAGUGGCGCCUCCAUCCCGAAGUGGUGAGAUUGAUAUGGAGGCGUUUCGGUAUGGCGAAGGUCGAUUUGUUUGCGACCACGGAGACAACUCAUUGCAAUCUAUGGUAUUCCCUGAACAGCCAGGGAGGCCCUUUAGGGAUCGAUGCACUAUCUCAAGAAUGGCCGGAAGAAUUGUUGUACGCUUUUCCACCCCUACCCUUGAUCCACCUUGUGAUCAACAGGGUAGCUUUGGGCCGUCACAAGAUUUUACUUGUGGCCCCACGUUGGCCAAAGAAACUUUGGUUUCCGACCCUUGUACGUUUGGUCCAAGGUUACCCUUGGCAGUUACCACAGAGAGCAGAUCUCCUCUCUCAAGUGGAAGGCCAAAUCUGGCACCCCAGUCCAGAGACACUUCAACUAUGGGUAUGGCCCUUGCUCAGUCCCUCUCUGAAGGCUUAGAUGAAGCUGUAUUAAGGACAAUAAAUAGUUCUAAGGCACCGUCUACGUGGAGUAACUAUUUUAGCAAGUGGCGAAUAUUCUCAGCAUGGUGUCAUGACCGACAACUAGAUCCGGCCAAGUGUGACACCAGUUUGGUUCUUCGUUUUCUUCAAACAUUGAUUGAUUCUGGGAAAUCAGUUAAUACCAUAAAAGUCUACAUUGCAGCCAUCUCACACUUCCAUGUGUCAGUGGAUGGUGCAAAUAUUGGCAAACACCGUUUGGUGUCUCAAUUUCUUAAGGGUGCAAAACGCUUGCGACCAGGGAGAAUUAUGAGAUCACCUACUUGGGACCUUUCUAUUGUCUUACAGUCACUGGCCAAAGCACCUUUUGAACCUUUGGAGCAAGCAGAUCUCAAGUUCUUGACAUGGAAAACAGUUUUCCUACUAGCGAUGUGUUCAGCCAAGAGAGUUGGUGAGUUGCACGCUUUAUCAGUCAGUGAAGACUGCUUGAGAUGGAAGGCAGAAAAAACAGGGGUUUUUCUCUGGCCAAACCCAUCAUUCUUGCCCAAGGUCCUUAAGCCUAGCACAAUAAAUCAGGUAAUUGAGCUUGAUGCUUUCCGUCCAGAUCCCCUUUGUUUAGGUGAAGAGUUGGAUCAUUGUUCUCUAUGUCCUGUUAGGGCAUUGCACACAUAUAUUGAGCAAACUCAUCAACUACGACAGUCACACACACAACUAUUUGUAUGUUUUGACAAGAAGUGUGCAGGCAAACCUGUGUCUAAGCAACGGUUAUCUCAUUGGAUAGUGGAUACCAUUUCACAAGCUUAUGUCAGCCAAAAUCUACCUAUCCCUGGUGGUCUGGUUGCUCACUCUACCAGGAGCAUGGCCACUUCCUGGGCGGCACUGAAGGGGGUAGCACUAUCGGACAUCUGUGCCGCAGCCUCUUGGAGCAGCUUGUGCACGUUUACGAGGUUUUAUAGGAUUAAUGUGGCAAAGCCAAAUCCUUUUGGGUCUGCGGUUUUAUCUGCGGCUAAAUAAACAGGGGAAGGAAAACAUGCUAGUCCCUCGUGACCCUGGGGGUAUAAGUCAUCCAAGGUAAGACCGUGGUGACGGUCUGAGUGAGGUCGAAAUAGAUCGUAAGUUAUGACUAUAACUAUGGAUCUAUGAGACCGAACGAUGACCGUCACCAUCCCUUGUCACUCGGGACGAACUGGGG
ensembl:lncRNA